GAUGAACGCUGGCGGCGUGCCUAAUACAUGCAAGUCGAGCGAACGGACGAGAAGCUUGCUUCUCUGAUGUUAGCGGCGGACGGGUGAGUAACACGUGGAUAACCUACCUAUAAGACUGGGAUAACUUCGGGAAACCGGAGCUAAUACCGGAUAAUAUUUUGAACCGCAUGGUUCAAAAGUAAAAGACGGUCUUGCUGUCACUUAUAGAUGGAUCCGCGCUGCAUUAGCUAGUUGGUAAGGUAACGGCUUACCAAGGCAACGAUGCAUAGCCGACCUGAGAGGGUGAUCGGCCACACUGGAACUGAGACACGGUCCAGACUCCUACGGGAGGCAGCGGUAGGGAAUCUUCCGCAAUGGGCGAAAGCCUGACGGAGCAACGCCGCGUGAGUGAUGAAGGUCUUCGGAUCGUAAAACUCUGUUAUUAGGGAAGAACAUAUGUGUAAGUAACUGUGCACAUCUUGACGGUACCUAAUCAGAAAGCCACGGCUAACUACGUG
rnacentral:rRNA from 1 species